UCAAUUUCUCAAGUUUGUUCUGCUAAUAAUUUAUGGGCUGUCUCUAAAAGGUGGACCCCCAACUCUAAACCUAAAACAUGUGUGUUUGGGGUCAGUAGGAGGGGCUUUAGUGUUUUGACACCAUCUAGGCCAUCCUGAGGAUGUGGUUUUGAAAUAGAUUAGCUACAAACUGAGCUGUCAGUCAAAGCAUCGGCCUGAACAAUGUUACUCUGUUUACUUAGCUUUCUAUCUACAUUCGGAGGUGGUGGUUGUGAAGAUGUCAUCACUCCUGUCCAAACUGAGGUUUAUGGGAAGAGUGGGGAUAAAGUCACGUUGUCUUGCAACUACUCUUCAGCCCUUUCUUUGUACUGGUAUCGUCAAUAUCUAAGGUCAAGUCCACAUUUCCUUCUUCUGAUACUGAAAAACAGCGGGGAGUCUGAAAUCAUGCAGGCUGGCAUGUCAGUGAAAUUAAAUGAAAAGAAAACCUCUAUGGAUCUGGAGAUCUCCUCUGUGAAAGUAUCCGACUCUGCAGUGUACUACUGUGCGUUGAAGCCCACAGUGAGAGGAAACCCGUCAGUGCCGUACAAAAACCUGAAUCUGGCUUGACAAAGUGUUCUUAAGUACUGAAAAAUAUACAAAUACUAUACAAACACUGCAUCCUUUUGAAUAUACAUUUUUACCACAUCUGUUCUAAAUCACGCUAGUACUAUUUGGGGAACAUUUUACAAGAAAGUUCCAUUUGUUAACUUUAGUUAACUACAUUU